AGCGAACGCUGGCGGCGUGCCUAACACAUGCAAGUCGAACGUGAAAAGGGAAACCUGAGUAAAGUGGCGUACGGGUGAGUAACGCGUAGGUAAUCUACCCCAGAAUCUGGAAUAACCUGCCGAAAGGCGGGCUAAUACUGGAUAGAGCGAGGGAACUCGUGAGAGAGUUUUUCGGGAAAGGGAGCCCGCCAGGGCCUUCGUUCUGGGAUGAGCCUGCGUCUCAUUAGCUAGUUGGUAAGGUAACGGCUUACCAAGGCGAGGAUGAGUAGCUGGUCUGAGAGGAUGAGCAGCCGCACUGGGACUGAAACACGGUCCAGACUGCUUCGGGAGGCAGCAGUGGGGAAUCGGGCGCAAGGGACGAAAGUCUGACGCAGCCACGCCGCGGGAGUGAAGAAGGCCGUCGGGUUGUAAAGCUCUGUCGGAUGGGACGAACAUCUUCAUAGUGAAUAGCUAUGAGGACUGACGGUACCAUCAAAGGAAGCACCGGCUAACUCCGUG
rnacentral:rRNA from 1 species